GACGAACGCUGGCGGCGUGCUUAACACAUGCAAGUCGAACGGAAAGGCCCUGCUUUUGUGGGGUGCUCGAGUGGCGAACGGGUGAGUAACACGUGAGUAACCUGCCCUUGACUUUGGGAUAACUUCAGGAAACUUGGGCUAUUACCGGAUAGGAGUUCCUGCUGCAUGGUGGGGGUUGGAAAGUUUCGGCGGUUGGGGAUGAACUCGCGGCUUUUCAGCUUGUUGGUGGGGUAGUGCCUUACCAAGGCCUUGACGGGUACCCGGCCUGCGACGGUGACCGGCCUCAUCGGGACUGAGCUACGGCCCGGCCUCCUACGGGAGGCAGCAGUGGGGAAUAUUGCACAAUGGGCGGAAGCCUGAUGCAGCAACGCAGCGUGCGGAAUGACGGCCUUCGGGUUGUAACCCGCUUUCGCCUGUGACGAAGCCUGAGUGACGGUAAUGGGUAGAGAAGCACCGGCUAACUACGUG
rnacentral:rRNA from 1 species